CUUGUUGUUGUCGUUUGGUUCAUACAAGUCGCGUUUUGACGGGUUUUGCAGACAAUGAAGACAUCCAAAAUAGGAAGAUGAAAUGGACGAGAUCAUUGGGCAAUGAAAACAAGCAAUGCUCCUUUAUCCGUCUGACAGAACCGACAUAACUGCACAUUAACAAUACGUAAGACUUGCCUGGAUAACGCAGACACAUGAAUACGUCUUCAAGGUCUGUGAUAUCCUUCCUGUACUAUAAACAGACGACUGUCAUAGCUAGUGUGCAGCAAGUACUGGAUACCAACAUCGAUCCGCCCGGCGCCAGAUUCUCGAGAGGGAAACACGUGCCGAUCACUGACAUCUUGUUAUCUCCAGGUACUUGAGAAAAAUGACAGUUUUUCGAUACAUCCUUGUCAAUAGCCUCUCAGAGAACCAGAACAUGUUUACGACCCGAUAUUGUUGGGGUUGAAACUAGAUGAUUGGCGUGUUAUUAAGAAGCUAUGAUGGACAGUAUCUUUUUUCAUCUAAUUGAUAUCGAUCAUGUGACCAAUCAUGGUAUUUGUACAUAAAUGGUGUUUCAGUCAAUAAUAAAUAAUUCAA